ACGACCGAGCUUGCUCGGUCUGAUUAGUGGCGAACGGGUGAGUAACACGUGAGCAACCUGCCCUUCACUCUGGGAUAACCUCGGGAAAUCGGGGCUAAUACCGGAUAUGAGCUCCUGUCGCAUGGCGGGUGUUGGAAAGUUUUUCGGUGAAGGAUGGGCUCGCGGCCUAUCAGUUUGUUGGUGAGGUAGUGGCUCACCAAGGCGAUGACGGGUAGCCGGCCUGAGAGGGCGACCGGCCACACUGGGACUGAGACACGGCCCAGACUCCUACGGGAGGCAGCAGUGGGGAAUAUUGCACAAUGGGCGAAAGCCUGAUGCAGCGACGCCGCGUGAGGGAUGACGGCCUUCGGGUUGUAAACCUCUUUCAGCAGGGAAGAAGCGAAAGUGACGGUACCUGCAGAAGAAGCGCCGGCUAACUACGUGCCAGCAGCCGCGGUAAUACGUAGGGCGCAAGCGUUGUCCGGAAUUAUUGGGCGUAAAGAGCUUGUAGGUGGCUUGUCGCGUCUGCCGUGAAAACCCGAGGCUCAACCUCGGGCGUGCGGUGGGUACGGGCAGGCUAGAGUGUGGUAGGGGAGACUGGAACUCCUGGUGUAGCGGUGAAAUGCGCAGAUAUCAGGAAGAACACCGAUGGCGAAGGCAGGUCUCUGGGCCAUUACUGACACUGAGAAGCGAAAGCAUGGGGAGCGAACAGGAUUAGAUACCCUGGUAGUCCAUGCCGUAAACGUUGGGCACUAGAUGUGGGGAACAUU
rnacentral:rRNA from 1 species